rnacentral:rRNA from 1 species
AUUGAACGCUGGCGGCAGGCUUAACACAUGCAAGUCGAGCGGGGGAAGGUAGCUUGCUACUGGACCUAGCGGCGGACGGGUGAGUAAUGCUUAGGAAUCUGCCUAUUAGUGGGGGACAACAUCUCGAAAGGGAUGCUAAUACCGCAUACGUCCUACGGGAGGAAGCAGGGGAUCUUCGGACCUUGCGCUAAUAGAUGAGCCUAAGUCGGAUUAGCUAGUUGGUGGGGUAAAGGCCUACCAAGGCGACGAUCUGUAGCGGGUCUGAGAGGAUGAUCCGUCACACUGGGACUGAGACACGGCCCAGACUCCUACGGGAGGCAGCAGUGGGGAAUAUUGGACAAUGGGGGGAACCCUGAUCCAGCCAUGCCGCGUGUGUGAAGAAGGCCUUAUGGUUGUAAAGCACUUUAAGCGAGGAGGAGGCUACUCUAGUUAAUACCUAGGGAUAGUGGACGUUACUCGCAGAAUAAGCACCGGCCAACUCUGUGCCAGCAGCCGCAGUAA